UGUUCCUGUGUUAGUUUGCUGAGAAUGAUGGUUUCCAGCUUCAUCCAUGUCCCUGCAAAGGACAUGAACUCAUUCUUUUUUAUGGCUGCAUAACUUUUGUUUCUUAUGCUGGGACAAAUACAGCUUAUUUGUACACUGCUGGGAAUGAUCUAACACAGGGAAAGUCAUAGUGCAGGAAAGAGAAGGAAUGAAUAUAACAUAAUAAAAGAUAAGGAUUAUUUAGUAAUGUCUAAAGAGAAAAUGUGUGCUUAUUUACAGGUUUGAAAAGCAGAGAUGAUGUCCCAAAACUAGUGACUGAGUUCCUGGCAAAGAAAUUUGACCUGGACCAGUUGAUAACUCAUGUUUUACCAUUUAAAAAAAUCAGUGAAGGAUUUGAGCUGCUCAAUUCAGGACAAAGCAUUCGAACAGUCCUGACAUUUUGAGAUCCAAAGUGGCAGGAGGUCUGUGUUGUCAUGGUGAACUGGAGUUUCUCUUUUGCGAGUUCCCUCAUCUGAAAUCAUGUAUCUGUCUCACAAAUACAAGCAUAAGUAGAAGAUUUGUUGAAGACAUAGAACCC
rnacentral:sRNA from 1 species